UCUCCGUAGGUGAACCUGCGGAGGGAUCAUUACUGAGUGAGGGCUUCGGUCCGACCUCCAACCCUUUGUGAACCAAACUUGUUGCUUCGGGGGCGACCCUGCCGUUUCGACGGCGAGCGCCCCCGGAGGCCAUUAAACACUGCAUCAUUGCGUCGGAGUUAAAGUAAAUUAAACAAAACUUUCAACAACGGAUCUCUUGGUUCCAGCAUCGAUGAAGAACGCAGC
rnacentral:misc_RNA from 1 species